AUGUCCAAAUCUCGGGAUUCAGUUCAGCUAAAUAAACACCUAGAAUUCUUUCAGUCCAAGAAUGACCUGGAGUCCGUAUUGGAGAGCAGUCCCUCCCACCCUGGACGCGUCGGCAAUUCUUCUAGAGCAGGAGCAUGUUGGUGCCGCGGGAGCAAGCCGAGGGGCUCAAGAGCACUGGGUUCAUCGGCCAUGGCGGACGGUGGUUUCCUAGAACGUGGGCGAAGCGGCUGCAGGAAGAACUGGUGCGUGCUGCUCCGGCCGCCGCGCCCAGCAACUGGAGCAGCCGCUGGCCAUGCCCAGGAGCUCGAGCCGCCGCCACUGAAGGCCGGCUGA
rnacentral:rRNA from 1 species